rnacentral:tRNA from 2 species
GCUUAAAUAGUUUAAUAAAAACGUUGAUUUGUGGAAUCAGAAUUAUAAUAAUUAUUUUGGGCU